GAUGAACGCUGGCGGCGUGCCUAAUACAUGCAAGUCGAGCGAACAGAUGAGGAGCUUGCUCCUCUGACGUUAGCGGCGGACGGGUGAGUAACACGUGGAUAACCUACCUAUAAGACUGGGAUAACUUCGGGAAACCGGAGCUAAUACCGGAUAAUAUAUUGAACCGCAUGGUUCAAUAGUGAAAGACGGUUUUGCUGUCACUUAUAGAUGGAUCCGCGCCGCAUUAGCUAGUUGGUAAGGUAACGGCUUACCAAGGCAACGAUGCGUAGCCGACCUGAGAGGGUGAUCGGCCACACUGGAACUGAGACACGGUCCACACUCCUACGGGAGGCAGCAGUAGGGAAUCUUCCGCAAUGGGCGAAGGCCUGACGGAGCAACGCCGCGUGAGUGAUGAAGGUCUUCGGAUCGUAAAACUCUGUUAUUAGGGAAGAACAAAUGUGUAAGUAACUAUGCACGUCUUGACGGUACCUAAUCAGAAAGCCACGGCUAACUACGUG
rnacentral:rRNA from 1 species